rnacentral:rRNA from 1 species
GAUGAACGCUGGCGGUAUGCUUAACACAUGCAAGUCGAACGGACUCUUCGGAGUUAGUGGCGGACGGGUGAGUAACGCGUGAGAAUCUGGCUUUGGGUUCGGGACAACCACUGGAAACGGUGGCUAAUACCGGAUGUGCCGAGAGGUAAAAGAGAAAUUGCCUGAAGGUGAGCUCGCGUCUGAUUAGCUAGUUGGUGAGGUAAAGGCUCACCAAGGCAGCGAUCAGUAGCUGGUCUGAGAGGAUGACCAGCCACACUGGGACUGAGACACGGCCCAGACUCCUACGGGAGGCAGCAGUGGGGAAUUUUCCGCAAUGGGCGAAAGCCUGACGGAGCAAUACCGCGUGAGGGAAGAAGGCUCUUGGGUUGUAAACCUCUUUUCUUAGGGAAGAACAAAAUGACGGUACCUAGGGAAUCAGCAUCGGCUAACUCCGUG